rnacentral:rRNA from 1 species
GUAAUAGUUAUGUUCUUGAAACCCAGAGAAUUUGGCGGUAUUUUAUUCUUUUUAGAGGAACCUGUCCCGUAAUCGAUAAUCCACGAGGAUAAUUUACUUAUUUUUGUUUUCAGUUUGUAUACCUCCGUCAUAAGAGUAUCUUUUUAGAGUUAAUAUUCCAUUAAUAUUAAGUAUAAAAUGUCAGGUCAAGGUGCAACUUAUAAAUAAGAGGAGAUGGGUUACAAUAAAUUUAUUUAUAUGGAUUAUAAAUUUUAUUUUUAUAUGAAGGUGGAUUUAAAAGUAAAAUUAAUUUCUUGUUAAUUUGAUUUUAGCUCUAAAAUAUGCACACAUCG